rnacentral:rRNA from 1 species
UGGGGAAUCUUCCGCAAUGGACGAAAGUCUGACGGAGCAACGCCGCGUGAGUGAAGAAGGUUUUCGGAUCGUAAAACUCUGUCUUUUGGGGCGAACGUGAGUAUGGUGAACAAUCAUAGUCAGUGACGGUACCAAAGGAGGAAGCCACGGCUAACUACGUGCCAGCAGCCGCGGUAAUACGUAGGUGGCAAGCGUUGUCCGGAAUUAUUGGGCGUAAAGAGCGCGUAGGCGGGAUAGUCAGUCUGUUGUAAAAGUGCGGGGCUCAACCCCGUGACGGCAAUGGAAACAGCUAUUCUUGAGUGCAGGAGAGGAAAGUGGAAUUCCCAGUGUAGCGGUGAAAUGCGUAGAUAUUGGGAGGAACACCAGUGGCGAAGGCGACUUUCUGGACUGUGUCUGACGCUGAGGCGCGAAAGCCAGGGGAGCGAACGGGAUUAGAUACCCCGGUAGUCCUGGCCGUAAACGAUGGGUACUAGGUGUGGGAGGUAUCGACCCCUUGCCGUGCCGGAGUUAACGCAAUAAGUACCCCGCCUGGGGAGUACGGUCGCAAGACUGAAACUCAAAUGAAUUGACGGGGUCAUAGCUG